rnacentral:rRNA from 1 species
UGUGACCUACGGGGCGCAGCAGUGGGGAAUAUUGCACAAUGGGGGAAACCCUGAUGCAGCGACGCCGCGUGAGUGAAGAAGUAUUUCGGUACGUAAAGCUCUAUCAGCAGGGAAGAAAAAAAGUCCUUUGGACUUUGGACGGUACCUGACCAAGAAGCCUCGGCUAACUACGUGCCAGCAGCCGCGGUAAUACGUAGGGGGCAAGCGUUAUCCGGAUUUACUGGGUGUAAAGGGAGCGUAGACGGCAGCGCAAGUCUGGAGUGAAAUGCCGGGGCCCAACCCCGGACAUGCUCUGGAAACUGUGG